rnacentral:rRNA from 1 species
ACUGUAACUGACGGUUGAGGCUUGGAAAAGCGUGGGGGAGCAAAACAGAAUUAUAUACCCUGGUAGUUCACGCCGUAAACGAUGAUUACUAGGUGUCGGAGGGGUAGGGGACCCUCCCGGUGCCGGCAGCAAACGCAGUAAGUAAUCCACCUGGGGGAGUACGUUCGCAAGAAUGAAACUCAAAGGAAUUGACGGGGGCCCGCACAAGCGGUGGAGCAUGUGGUUUUAUCUGAAGCAACGCGAAGAACCUUACCAAGUCUUGACAUCUGGAUGACAGGGACGUAACGGUCCCCCUACUUCGGUACAUCCAAGACAGGUGGUGCAUGGUUGUCGUCAGCUCGUGUCGUGAGAUGUUGGGGUAAGUCCCGCAACGAGCGCAACCCUUAUCCUUAGUAGCCAGCGGGCAGGGCCGGGCACUCUAGGGAGACUGCCGGGGAUAACCCGGAGGAAGGUGGGGAGGACGUCAAAUCAUCAUGCCCCUUAUGAUUUGGGCUACACACGUGCUACAAUGGCGUAAACAGAGGGAAGCGAACCCGCGAGGGGGAGCAAAUCCCAAAAAUAACGUCCCAGUUCGGAUUGUAGCCUGCAACCCGGCUACAUGAAGCUGGAAUCGCUAGUAAUCGCGGAUCAGAAUGCCGCGGUGAAUACGAUCCCGGGUCUUGUACACACCCCCCCUCA